AUCAGGGUAAUGCACUGAGUAGGCUUUUAAGCAGGUUUAGUUGUCAACAACUAAAAGUCUCUUUGCCAAAUAAUUAUAUCUGUGACUUUAUUGGUACUAUCUAGCUGCCUAAACUCAAAAGACUUG